ACAUCCAGAGAACUUAGCAGAGAUGCUUUGGUGCCUUCGGGAACUCUGAGACAGGUGCUGCAUGGCUGUCGUCAGCUCGUGUUGUGAAAUGUUGGUUAAGUCCCGCAACGAGCGCAACCCUUAUCCUUUGUUGCCAGCGGUUCGGCCGGGAACUCAAAGGAGACUGCCGGUGAUAAACCGGAGGAAGGUGGGGAUGACGUCAAGUCAUCAUGGCCCUUACGGCCAGGGCUACACACGUGCUACAAUGGCGCAUACAAAGAGAAGCGACCUCGCGAGAGCAAGCGGACCUCAUAAAGUGCGUCGUAGUCCGGAUUGGAGUCUGCAACUCGACUCCAUGAAGUCGGAAUCGCUAGUAAUCGUAGAUCAGAAUGCUACGGUGAAUACGUUCCCGGGCCUUGUACACACCGCCCGUCACACCAUGGGAGUGGGUUGCAAAAGAAGUAGGUAGCUUAACCUUCGGGAGGGCGCUUACCACUUUGUGAUUCAUGACUGGGGUGAAGUCGUAACAAGGUAGGCGUAGCGAG
rnacentral:rRNA from 1 species